rnacentral:rRNA from 1 species
UGGUGGAGUGAUUUGUCUGGUUAAUUCCGAUGACGAACGAGACCUUAACCUGCUAACUAGGGGUUGUGGAUUUUACUUCCACGCUCUCUUCUUAGAGGGACUGUUGGUGCCUAACUAAAGGAAGUUUGAGGCAAUAACA